rnacentral:ncRNA from 1 species
GCAGAGUAGGACAGGACGCGUCAAGUGCCGGAUGAACAGGGAGUUGUCAUCCGGACGAAAGGCCCCGAGGGGGCUUGCGGUGUCUUGUCCGCAUCCCGCUGC